GUGCUCACUUCAGCAGCACAUAUACUAAAACUGGAACGAUACAGAGAAGAUUAGCAUGGCCCCUGUGUAAGGAUGACAUGCAAAUUUGGGACGCGUUCCAUGUUUCA